CUGAAUGCUACUCACAGUACCUCUUGGCAAGGAGGAGAUGAGAAGGAGCUGCAGGAAAGUGAGCCCCAGCUGCGGCCACCAGCCCAGCUCCAUCGUUCCGCGGUGGUGCCCGGAGCGACUGCCGGGGAGGGACCGAGGGAGGCCGGCCGGCGGGCAGGCGGCUCUUACACGGACCUCCCCAAGCCGCGGCGGAGCGGGAGCUCGGGUUUCAGCUCGCCAGGCUCUCCCAUCCUCAUCCGAGGGGAACCACCUUCAGCCAGAGCGACGUCAGCCCAAACCUCUCCUCUCCGCGGCUGCCUUAACCCUUGCGGGGCCCGGGGAGGUGUGGCCACGCGGAGAGGCCCCAGGCUGCGGCUGGAAGGCAAGCUGCGGGGCACGGAGGCCAGCCCAGGCUUCUGGGAAAAUUCUUCAUCUUCCCAUGACGCCCAUUAUGGGCUAUGGAACCUGGAAAGGAAUUCUCAGAAAGGAGCGGGACACAUUCUUCUGGGGAACUGAAAGCAGUGAUCAGAUAUUACCUUGUUGAACUUGACAAUAAACUUGGGCUGGUAGAGGAAGAGGGAAGCUAUGACUACGAUACAAAAAAGAUCAGCACCUGAGCAGAAACCACACAGAGGGCAAGCCAGAGGAAAGAGCUGGGGCGGUACAGGUCUGCAAGCCUGAGAGAGGCGUCCCAGAGCACUGGUCAGUAGUGUGGUCAGUAAGUGUGGCUUUCAUCAGCGUACGAAACACAAAGUUCAAGUCAACCAAGGCCAGAGAUGGAGAAGGGUAGGUCUGUGGAAAAGACAAAGGGUCCUUCCACCAGAGCCUGCUCUAACUGGCCGCACCAUGGAAGUCUCCAGCCCUAAUAAAUCCCGGCUGUUCACCUACACAACAAGCAACAAUGUUCCACCUCCAGGGCUGGCUCAGCUCCACUCCCUUUCCAUUGGGAACCAGGCAAAGGGGUAGGGUCAUUGAAGACAACUUGAGGGCCAGUGACUGGAUCAGACUUGUGCCCCAGACUCAGCUCUCCGCACCUACAUCCAGUAUGCAACAGGAUGGGGAGAAGUGGCUUGAUCUGAGAGGCACCAAGGAGAUCAUUCACUCUGGGAGAAGUCAACUAUGGAGAGUCUCACACAGAAAGGAACCGAAGCUUCCUGACAACAGUCCCAUGAAGGAUCUUGGGAGCCAAUUCUCCAGCCCUUCCGAUGGCUGCAGCCCCAGCCAGCAACUUGCCUGCGACCUCACAAGAAUCCCCUUAGCCAGAGCCACCCAGCUAAGCUGCUCCCAGAUCCCUGACCCUCAGAAACUA